AAAAAGGCUGUGACGGGAAGGAGUACGCUGUUCCCCCAGGUCCAGAGAGGAGCCGGACGGUGCAAGGCUCCCCCGGGAGAAGCGGAAGGUGGUCCCAGAGCUUCGGCGCACAACAGGGCGGAGCCCUCAGUAAGCGCCGGCGUGCUGCCCGCGUUAUGGGCAAUGGAGUGCGGACGCGGCGCGUCCGAAUUCAGGUGGUACCGCGGAGAGAUUCGCCCUGAGG
rnacentral:ncRNA from 1 species